ACAUAUCAAUAAGCGGAGGAAAAGAAACUAACAAGGAUUCCCCUAGUAACGGCGAGUGAAGAGGGAAAAGCUCAAAGUUGGAACCUGUUUGGCUUAGCUAAACCGGAUUGUAAACUAAAGAGCCGUUUUCCAGACGAGCUAAGCAAAAAAGUCCCUUGGAACAGGGCAUCAUAGAGGGUGAGAAUCCCGUCUUUGGCUUAAGCGAUUUCGUCUUUAUGUGAUACGGCUUCAAAGAGUCAGGUUGUUUGGGAAUGCAGCCUAAAGUGGGUGGUAAAUCUCAUCUAAAGCUAAAUAUUGGCGAGAGACCGAUAGCGAACAAGUACCGUGAGGGAAAGAUGAAAAGAACUUUGAAAAGAGAGUUAAACAGUAUGUGAAAUUGCUGAAAGGGAACCGUUUGAGGUUAGACUAGCUGGUCAGUAAUCAAUCUUGGUUUCGACCAUGAUGCACUUGCUGGCCUUUGGCUAGCCAACGACAGUUUUUUCUGUAGGAAAAAAUGUGCAGGAAUGUGGCUCUUCGGAGUGUUAUAGCCUGCUAUAGAAUACUACGGAAGAGACUGAGGCUCGCAGCGAACGCUAUUAUGGCGAGGAUCAGGUUAACUUUGUGAUAAUGUGUGCUACUACUCAGCUUGCUGCGGUAAUGCAUGUUGUUGUUUGGUAUUGGCUUGUUUACCUUUAGUUCGCUUGGGUCGUUGGCUUAAUGACCUUAAAUGACCCGUCUUGAAACACGGACCAAGGAGUCCACCAUAAAUGCGAGUAUUUGGGUGCCAAACCCAUAUGCGAAAGGAAACUGAAUGGAUAUGAAUCCCUUGAGGAGGCAAUAUCAUCCGGCUUUGACGUUUUAACUGAAGAGACCGAGAUUGAGCAUUUAUGAUGGGACCCGAAAGAUGGUGAACUAUGCCUGAAUAGGGUGAAGCCAGAGGAAACUCUGGUGGAGGCUCGUAGCGAUUCUGACGUGCAAAUCGAUCGUCAAAUUUGGGUAUAGGGGCGAAAGACUAAACGAACCAUCUAGUAGCUGGUUCCUG
rnacentral:rRNA from 1 species